ACUGUUCACCAGCAGGAGUAUAUGUAGUAACAACAACUGACCACCAGAGGACGCCAAAUGUGCCCUGUGCUUUCUUUCUUUUUUGGCACCGUUCCAUACUGGGGGGGACAAGUUAUUCUGAGCUAAUUUGCACCUGAUGUUCACUUAAUGAAGACGGAGGCAUGCCCUGGUGGGAGAGCAAAUCUCCUGACAUGAUGUCCAAUAAUUAAGGCAGAUCUGGCACACCUGGAGGUGCAGUCCAGGUGCGUCGGUUAUAAGGUAAUGCGGAGCAGCCAUUGAACAGCAGAACAAACGAAAGGGGACCGCUCGCCAUCCAUCUUCCGUCCCCGUCUCCAGUUAUUGAUCCGUAUCGUGAUGCCAGCUUAACACAUGCGUCCGGGCCAAUCCGGAGGUUCCACAAGGGAUGUUGUCUGAGCUACUGAGAACUAACAUCGUAUCAUUUUAUCGCAUCUUAUUGUGCUGCAUCUUGUGCCAUAUAUUAUUAACAUAUCCCAAAGCAUUGGAUGUUAGUAAUUUUAAAUAUCGGACACUCUGAUUGCUGCAAGUUUCCCGCCAUCCUGUGGACUACGUGAGUAAAUCUGGUCAAUGACAAUGAAUUAAUGUUUGAAGAAAAUACAGCACAGCGUUUACUUACAUGACCCAAUCCAAACAACCUUCCUUAGUCAUGGGGCAAAAAAGAACAACCCUGUAACAAACACAAAAAGUCAACACACAUGGUCACACAUAGCAUAACCUG